rnacentral:lncRNA from 1 species
CAUAAAAUAGCCCCAUAAUUUAAAAGACGGAGAUAAAAUAUUGACAGGCAUUUCAUUGGAAACCAAAUGGUGGAGGUGAGGAGAUGGUGAGGGAACAGAUUUUUUUUUCCAAUUAGGGAACUUUUUCAUUUUUGAAGUCCAUAGCUUUAAGCAAGUACAUUAAAUCUUGUUAUUUAAAGACAUAAAAACAGUCACCAGCAGAACCAAAACUAUUGUUUAUCAAAUGAGCAGAAUGUAGGGAAAAUUAGAAAAUAAGAUAGAAGCAUAUAAAACAUAAAACAAGAAAAUAGAAUUAAGACCAAUGAUACCUGUUAUGAAAUCACAUAUGAAUAGAAAAAAAUUAAAAGAAAAUGACACUCAGAUUGGAUAAUACUAACCCAAACCUACCUGUAUGCUGACUUCAAAGUGCACACUGGAAAUGAAAUAAUUAAGGAAGAAUUGUCACAGAUACAGCAGCGAAAUGCAAACAAAGAAGAACUCAGACGUUGCAACACCACCACUGGAUGUAGCGGAAUUCAGUUUAACGAUAGCCCAUAACCUUCAGACCAACUAGGAUGUAGAGGAAUUCAACACCAAGGGCCGAUUGACAAACUGUUGGGUGUUUAACACAAUCAAAUAUAAGUUAUGAAAGUAAUGUAGUAUGUGUGGGUGUGUAAAAUUGGAAACACAAGGAGAAGUGGGCAGAAAAGUGACGAGAGAUAAAGCUUGCGAGAACAAGGUUGUUAAUAUUAAGUCCGCUUCCCCUGGGUGAACAGAAUGGGGUGGCCUUUGUGCAAAGAUGUUGUCAACUUCGUGACUUUAUUUUGACACAUGUGAUAUGUUGACAGAAAUCCACCAAAGAAGCAGCCAUUAGGCAGAAAUCCACCUGAGCUCUGUGCGUGUGGCAAAAUAUCUCAAAAGACCCCAAAAGCGAAGCAUCGCCAUGUUUACAUCACAGCUCUGAAAUGAAAAAGAAAUGGACUAUUGAGUCUGAUUUCUCUAUUAUCCUGUUGUGUUUGGAUUUUUAAAAGGGAUCAAAAUUCCAUUUUUCUCAAAGAAAGGGAGCCACAGAUUCACAGAUUUCAUUACCAACUUAAAACAAAUUGAGCAAAAAAUUAAGGGGAAUGUUUUUCGUAUCUAGCAAGGCCUCCUUUUAAAACCAGCAAACAUCUGCGCACUUAAGUACCUUCUGUUGAGGUCUAAGGAAGUCAAUUUCUGGAAUACGUGUGAGUUCAUCGACUCUGCCUCACUUUCAAAAACUGAAUAAGAAAUGAAGAAAUCAUCCUGUAGUUUUUAGAAAAGUAUGAAAAAGGAUACAUCUGCUCAGAAAGUUUGGAUGGGCUGUUCAGAUCUUAUCACAAACAGAUGCCGAACACUGUGUGGGGUUGGAAUUGGGC